CAUUAUCAAAGUUUUGUUUUUAGUUCGGAUAGACAGUUGUGGAGCUAAUUAUCCCAUCCAUAUUCAAAAUUAAAGGUGAUGUUAUUUUAGAAAUGUAACCCUUAAUAUCUAAGUUGCACGGAUUCUUCACUUUUGAUGUCGCAUUCAUAUCAAAUUCUCCAAAAAUACACUACUUUUGAAGAAUCCGACACGCAGCCCUUGAUACUUUGGAAGAUUGUCCGAGCAAAGAUGGCUUAAAAUUAUCAAAGAUGGCUUAAAAUUAUUAUGCACUCUUCAGUCGAGAACGCAUUUCAUCUCCCAGCAGAUUAGACAACUUGCCCAUGCAAUUGCUUGGCCACCAAGGAUGAGAAAAACCACAUCCUAGUUCCUAUGAAACACAAGAUGAUUGCAUUAAUAAAUUAGAGAAUGUAAUCUAAAGCAACUGAAGAUAUCUUUGACAAAAAGAAACACGACAGCUGAGUAAGCUUAACAUCAGAUCUUC
rnacentral:lncRNA from 1 species